GGAGGCUAUAUACAGGGGUACCGGUACAGAGUCAAUGUGGAGGCUAUAUACAGGGGUACCGGUACAGAGUCAAUGUGGAGGCUAUAUACAGGGGUACCGGUACAGAGUCAAUGUGGAGGCUAUAUACAGGGGGUACCGGUACAGAGUCAAUGUGGAGGCUAUAUACAGGGGAACCGGUACAGAGUCAAUGUGGAGGCUAUAUACAGGGGGACUGGUACAGAGUCAAUGUGGAGGCUAUAUACAGGGGGACUGGUACAGAGUCAAUGUGGAGGCUAUAUACAGGGGGGACUGGUACAGAGUCAAUGUGGAGGCUAUAUACAGGGGGUACCGGAACAGAGUCAAUGUGGAGGCUAUAUACAGAGGGUACCGGAACAGAGUCAAUGUGGAGGCUAUAUACAGGGGGUACCGGUACAGAGUCAAUGUGGAGGCUAUAUACAGGGGGUACCAGUACAGCGUCAAUGUGGAGGCUAUAUACAGGGGUACCAGUACAGAGUCAAUGUGGAGGCUAUAUACAGGGGUACCGGUACAGAGUCAAUGUGGAGGCUAUAUACAGGGGGUACCAGUACAGAGUCAAUGUGGAGGCUAUAUACAGGGGUACCAGUACAGAGUCAAUGUGGAGGCUAUAUACAGGGGUACCGGUACAGAGUCAAUGUGGAGGCUAUAUAGAGAGGGUACCGGAACAGAGUCAAUGUGGAGGCUAUAUACAGGGGUACCGGUACAGAGUCAAUGUGGAGGC
ensembl:lncRNA